CAACCUGCCGUCUACUCUUGGCCAGCCUUCUGAAAGGAAGAUUAAUCCAGGAUGGGAUCAUGAGUUCACAUGUCCGCAUGAUUAAAGGUAUUUUCCGGUAGACGAUGGGGAUGCGUUCCAUUAGAUAGUAGGCGGGGUAACGGCCCACCUAGUCAACGAUGGAUAGGGGUUCUGAGAGGAAGGUCCCCCACAUUGGAACUGAGACACGGUCCAAACUCCUACGGGAGGCAGCAGUGAGGAAUAUUGAUCAAUGGGCGAUGGCCUGAACCAGCCAAGUAGCGUGAAGGAUGACUGCCCUAUGGGUUGUAAACUUCUUUUAUAAAGGAAUAAAGUCGGGUAUGGAUACCCGUUUGCAUGUACUUUAUGAAUAAGGAUCGGCUAACUCCGUGCCAGCAGCCGCGGUAAUACGGAGGAUCCGAGCGUUAUCCGGAUUUAUUGGGUUUAAAGGGAGCGUAGAUGGAUGUUUAAGUCAGUUGUGAAAGUUUGCGGCUCAACCGUAAAAUUGCAGUUGAUACUGGAUGUCUUGAGUGCAGUUGAGGCAGGCGGAAUUCGUGGUGUAGCGGUGAAAUGCUUAGAUAUCACGAAGAACUCCGAUUG
rnacentral:rRNA from 1 species